CUCCUUUAGGAAGGAGCCUUUCCUGUACCUCUCCACUGAAGCCACUUUGACCAAACAGGAGCAGCUACAGCCUUCACUGGGACAGAGCAACUCUGGAACAGCUUUUCAAUGAAGGGCACGAAUCCAGCGUUCUUUUCCUUGUCCCAAGAUGGUUACACAUGCUCUGCUUGAACCUCGUCUACAGCUCCACUGUUCAAUGGCAUCAGUACCCUGACCUGGUUGCCAUUGCAAUGAGAGGGGCUUGCCUGCACCCUCUCGUUGGCAGCUCCCAGUUAAGGGGAUUUCCAACGGGGCUCCUUGGCAGUGAGCACGGCACCCACACGUUCUAUUUAUGUCUGUGUACACGUCUGAGUGUGUUUCCUGAGCCAGAGAAGACAUUACGCUGCCUAAUGUUGUUACCCAAAGGGUGAGAAUAGAGGAUCGGCUGAUUGCAAGAAGAUGAGUAAAACCUACCUGCUUUAGUCCUUCGUGUAUGUACGUCUCACCUGCUGGCAUCACCUCCUCCAGAUCCUUUAGGCCUUUCUUGAUCUUCUCCCUGCGAACGAAAGAAAAGCAGGAGUUGCACCCAGGCAGACUCAGCAGGGCCUGGCCACUGGCACCGGUCAGUGCUGCCAAAGCAGGCUUACAGAAACCUGGACUGCUGCUGGCCAGCACAGCUGGCCAAAAGAGAACAAAGGCAACAUUCUGCCAGCUGGAUGGUAUUCCUGAGGGUAUCCACUGUCCCAAACCACUUGCCUUCCAACAGUGUGCCCCAAAGGUCUAUGGAGUGAUUCCUGAGUGGUUUUUCCACAUGUUCAAAACCCAGAAGGUUGUGCACUGCAGUAGCUCCUGGACAGAAGGGGGAGAGCAGAGGUUGUGUUGGUUUUGAAAAGGCUGAGAGGACACCCAAGGACUCAGACAGCAGUGACACUCCUCCGCUGAGAGUGCUCGUUCCACACGACCAUUGCCCAGUUUCUGGUUACAGGGAAUCACAUCUAAUUAGCAGUGGAAAACAGCUAGGAGUUGCCUGAUGUUCUGGAGGCUCAAGACAGAAUUUUUCCCAAGGGUUUUUUAAAGCAAAGCGCUGCAGUCCUCAGCUGUUUGUACAGAGCAGUCAGCCAGGAUUUACAGCAGCUAUUUCAAGAGGAGCUGGACUGGCCCCACAACACUGCUGACAGUAACAAAGUUGAUUAUAUUUCGUCGCCACGCUCCCGGACCUAGAAGGGAAAACCAGAGCACAUCAGCGGCCUGAUCUGGGAUGACAUUUCGUGGAGAAACUGACAAUAUUCGCUGUUCCGGACAUCCCGAGGCUGUGGAGGCGAAUUAGACUGCAAAAAGGACCUUGCUCUUCCGUCCACAGGAAGAGAUGAGGAAGUCAGAGUCAUCCUGCUGGAGAGUUUUCCUUUCAUCUCACUUCAUUCCCAUUCCUGCAGUCUCUGGAUGGUUCGCUGUAGCCACAGCUCUCUGACCCAACACAUCCGUGUCACAGUGCCUUCUCCAUGCCGAUCCCAACGCCAAGCCAAGCCUCCCUGUGAGGGAGGUUGGAAACGUUACCAAAGCCCGUGGACCAGCAGUGAAUAAUGUUUACCAGAGAUCUGGCUCACCAAGUUCUUAGUGCCUUCGAGCUAGCAAGGCCAAAGGGUAAGCAAGCGGUGUUUUGCAGUCCCUGUGGAUACACAAAACAUGGGAAAUUAAGGACAGAGCAGCCUGGGCUUUGCCAAAGACCCAGCCAAAAAAAAAAAAAAAAGCCUUGCAGAGGCGUGCAAGACAACAGAGGAAGCUUGCUGUGCUUCCCAAAACCAGCUGCACUCCAGCUUUCCAAGCUGCACGAGUCCACCCCAAGCCCCAGGAGCACCCGCCUUGCCUGGGAGUACGUGUCAUGUUAUCCAGAUGUUGGAAGUCUUGCUUUAAGCACAUGUGACCCGGUGUGCUUGCAACAAGCCUCCACUGCCAGUUCACUCUUAGCUUGUUUCCAAGUGUGUGAAUUCCUCUUUUAGCUUGUGGUUUCUGCUGAAGAAGCAGAUAAAUUAUGGCUAUUUUGCUGGAAUGGCUGGAUGAGAGGGAGGUAGGCACAUAGGACAUACAGGGCAAUGGUUCAUGGCUGUCUGGCUUCAGUCACACAAGGGCUGGAGCCUCCUUUCCCAGAUCCCAGAACUCGUUUGCUGAUGCUUGCUCUCUCCCCGCCCUCUUCCAGGGCCGCAGUGCUGCAUAAACCUUGGCGUGGGGUGGGGCAUCAGCAGCUUGCCAAUGCCAAAACAAGGACCAUGUUGCAGCAGCAGGAGGGGACCUUGGCUCUCGGCUGCACCGAGGGACCCAGGCCAGCUGCAGACCCCUGUCCCAACCCCAGCUGAGUCUCCCACUGCCUCUGGGUGUUGGCUCCACAUCUGAAGCAGGCGCAGCUUGCCCUCACUCCCCAUCCCACCCGUCUGGAAUCAAGCCCACUUGCACGAGGGCUUCCUUUACACUGGCUUCUUGUGCCUGGAGGCUGGGACAGCAGGGAAACCAGGGGGACCAGGGAGAAACCACCCUCAGCCAUUGAAAACAGAACUCUUAAAAUACAGCUUUGAAGUAACCCAGCCCUAGAAGCAGAAGUUUUCACAUGGAUGGUCAAUGCAGGAACGAAUGUAAGUUCACUGCCAAGGUUUACUGCAGAGAAAGUAGUAAACAGAAAGGCUUACAGCACCUUUGGAGUUAUACAGCUCCCUUCUUCAUCUCCAGCACUUGAAGAUGAUUUCCCCACAUGCUCUCCCUUAAUAUCCACCCUCUCCCACCUUCUUUUUGGCCCAGGCUGGUCGGGAAGACCUCAGGCAAAUGGUGCCAAAGUGAACUCGUCAUAUUUGGGGAGUGAGCAGUUGGAAGGAAAAGUCACCCUGGUGUAGCCUGGCUGUGAGCCUGGCCUGUGGGUCCUCAGGAAUGCUGUAGCAGAAAGGUGGUGCCUGCGGGGAAAAUUCUUCAGUGCUAUGGUGAGAUGACCUCAGGACUGGAGUCAAACAGUGGCUCGGUGGCCACACAGGCUGCCUUUUGGAUAGACUACAGAGGGUCAGGAGGGCUUUGUUGCUUGAUGAAUGCAAGUUCAGGUCCCAGAUACCUCUGCCCAACAGCUGUGAGCCGGCCUGCUUUCUUCAGGAUGCUCAGUGAUUGCCAGCAUUUGGAAGAAUGAAACUCUGGUGUGUCUGUGCGUGCGGCUGCAAUGCUGAUUUAUUGUAUCUCCUUUCUGAGUCCGGUCUGGGACUGCCCCUCUACCAAAUGAUCCAGGGGCAGCAUGCAAUGGGACAGCUCCACAGCACUGGCACCAGCCAGCGCUUCCAGACACCCUGAGCUGUGCAAAACCCAAGGACAAGUGAUGAUGAUGAUGAUGAUGAUGAUGAUGAGAAGCCUUGAGCCAGGGCAGCUCACAGGAGAAUAUUUUUCUGCUCCCCUCACAGGAUAUGAACCACACAUGGAAGUCUCACGCUUUGUAAAAGGAAAGAGAAACCAGAGGGACUCCAGCAGUUAUACAACAUGCAGGAGCUGUUUGAGAGCUGCCACCUGAAGGAUUAGCUACAAAUUCUUCCUCUCUUUACAGCUGUAGCCUUGUGUCUGUGUGCAUCCUGUGAAGCAGUGUAGAAAUGAAUAAAUAAAAAGGACAGCAUUAAGUAACACAGGAACACUCGUGUCCAUGUGGUAUUGCCUGCAUCAUCCAGAUGGAAAGUAUCUGUCUAGACAAAUCUGGGAAUUAUGCAAGCUCAGAAUUCCUGAAUAGCUCUUCGGUUCUAAUAUCGUGAAACAUUUGCAGUACCCACAGAAAAUAGGCACAGAAACACGGGGGAAAGAAACCCUUCAAUUCCAAUAGCUGGGACACCUAAAUACUGGUGAUGUGUUGGAUGAGAGAAGAUGGAAAUGCAGGAAUAUGGAGCAAUGUCCUUGCUGUGUGCACACUGACUCAUCCCCGAGGAGUCAGGAUCAUCCCUGGUGCUCACUCCUGUCUCAGCAGAAGUGGAGCAGGCUCCUUUGAGCUUCUUGUGGUUCUCUGCUGCCUGAUGCCCUGGACAAGGCACAGAGCCACUUGUUUCCACUUCUCUGGAGCUGUUUGUUUCCACGGUGCUCAGACAAGCAGAAGGAAUGAAAACAAAGAGGGAAAAAUGGGCUGUCCUGGUGCAAACCACAACAGCAUAAAAAUAAAUCACUCUUGGCCUGGGAGAGCAAAAAAUAAAAGCAGGACAGAAAACACGUAAUUCCCACUCUGGACCAGGAGCUGCUGCUGACUCUGAGCAAUGCCCGGGGAUCACCGGGGCUGGGAGCUUAGCACAACUCUAGAGUUGUAGUGACCCUUUUUGGUGUUCUUGGGAAACAACGGCCUGGCCAGAGGAGACAGAAGAACGGAGCAGUCAGGAUCUCUGCCUGCAGAGCAGCACAACCCGAGGAGAGGAUGGCACAAUUCCCAGUAGUAUAUAGAGAAAAAUAAGUUUUAAAAAAGCACAGGUGGUGAUCCAGCAGUCAUCCAGUUUGUGUCAGUUUUAUCACUGGCUCCAGGGGGACAGGUUCAAACCAUCUGAGGGUGCAUCCAAACGGAAACAUGGCUCUGGAGGAAAAGGGGCUCACAUUUCUCCAUCUGGCCUGGCCCCUCCAGCACUGCAAAGGACAGCAAGAGACAGCAUUGUGUCAAUUCUGCCCUCCCAGGCCUAGGAGAGAAAGAGUAAAGAGCAACUGUGGGGAUGAGUGAUGAAACAAGUGCUUGUUUUGCCACUGUUGUACCACUGUUUGGGGGUAAUCAGGGCAAUAUUUAUGCAGGGCUGCAGCAGGACAUCAUGCCCGAGCCACCGUUGGAUCAGCAGCCCAGAAAGCAGAUGUGCCAAUUUCCUGUCCUUGAUGAUGAUGGGCCCUAAUUACGCCAGAGCUGUGGCUAUGUCCUUUCUUGUGUAUGACCCCUAAUUUGGUUUCAUGAAGUCGUCUGUGCCAGGUUCUUCCGGCUGCAAGGCUGGGAGCAAGAGGUAAAGCCAUCCGAGGUACUUUGCAACCUGACUGGGUGAUUCUCCUGCUUGCCUACAGCCCCUGCUCUUGGCUGCAACACCAUUCUGCUGCUCCGUGUAACUUCAGGUCAGUGAAGAUUUCUACACCAAACUCCAGCCAGACCAUCUAGAGGAUGUGCUUGGGGAAACGCCACAUUCAGAAGGAUUUUGUGCUCCUGUCCUUGCAAGAGCCAUCAGAACCAGCCGCACUUCAGAGAAUGAGCCAGAGUCACCAUGGGCUUGGAAAGGUACUGGGUACAGAGAGCAAAAGAAAUGGGAAAUGGUGUCAGCUGCAGUGAGUAGGCAGAUGUUCCAGAUAGACAGGGUUUGUUUGGAACCAGUCUAGUACUCUGCAAUUAGAGUUAUGCCCUUAGAAAUAAAGUUUACUUGGGAAGUCAUCAGUGACAAUCAGUGUGCCAGCAAUGUUUGUCCCCUCCAGGACUGUCUUGCGAUCUCAGCCUGUGCUCUCAGCACCUUCCCUGUUACCUGCCUGCCAUCCGAAUGCUUGCUCAGGCUGGAAGCAUGGCAAAUGGCAGUCUGUUCUCUGCAGUUUGGCUGGGAGAGGUGACCAGUGUGCACCCCUGAGCGUGCCAUGCUCACCAUGUUUUGUCCCAUUCGUUUUGGAGCUGCUCUGCAGGCACCAAGUGCAAGGUUGGCCACAGGCAGGAGUUACAGAGAGAGCACAGCUACUCUGAGCUAGAAACAUGGCAACUGUUCAUCAUGUCUGUCCUUAUCUGCAGGAAAUAAGGAGUAAGCCCCAUAAAUCCUGUCCUAUAAACCAAACCCUCCUGAGCUCAGCUCCUUUGAGCCACGUCACAGAUCCUGGAUGAGCGGCAGGGAAAGGUGCAGCUGAGUCACCAGCAGUGAGUCAGCACCUUGCUGCUGCAGGGCAGCUGUUUGUACACACAAACGUGAGCCUGCUCUGUCCUUGUCUUCAGACACACCCAACGCUCUUCCCCAGACAGGCAGGUGACAUCAGUGCAGCGUGGGACUGGAUGUGCACGUUAGUGACAUGUCUGAGUGACAGUGCUGAGGGGGGCUGCUGGUGUCUGAGGAAUCAACAGGAACAUGGAUCUGAGUGAUCCGAGUCCCCCAGAGAUUGCUGGCCAGCGUGGGCAUGUGUAAGCAGGGCUGAGCGGCCACAGCUGCAGCACUGGUUCCUUUCAGCCAGGGCAGCAAACCUUGGGGCUUGAUAUUCACUUUUCCAGUUUCACUUGUACUGCAGUCUCCCAGUGUGAUCACUGGGGGAGGAAAGGACUGUGUGGGGUGUAACGCUGUGUCCUGGCAGCACAGGGAAACUGGGUCUGUAGAGCAUCCCCAGGGUCUGUACAUCACCCAAACUAACCCUCAGGUGUAACUGGAAGCAAACACAAAAAUAAUGGCAACUUCUUCUGGGGCCUUGGCUUGGGUUCUUCCCCCUGCCCUGCCUUACAGAAAUAAUGUGCUGUCUCUGCUGCUGUGCGGUGAGAGACAGCUCCCGUCAUCGAGUGGAGAUUUUAGGCGUGUGCAAUAGGAAGGCACAACUUCCUGUGCCUCCUCUGUAAAGUUCCUAGGCAUCCUGGAAUAAGAUGCAUAACAAAAAACACCAAACAGAACGCUA